rnacentral:rRNA from 1 species
AGAGUUUGAUCCUGGCUCAGGAUGAACGCUAGCGGCAGGCCUAAUACAUGCAAGUCGAACGAGAUUAUCCAGCUUGCUGGAUUUGAAAGUGGCGCACGGGUGCGUAACGCGUAUGCAACCUACCUUAAUCAGGGGGAUAGCCCGGAGAAAUCCGGAUUAACACCGCAUAAAAACACAGGAUAGCAUUAUCCAAUGUUCAAAUAUUUAUAGGAUUAAGAUGGGCAUGCGUGUCAUUAGCUAGUUGGCGGGGUAACGGCCCACCAAGGCGACGAUGACUAGGGGAUCUGAGAGGAUGACCCCCCACACUGGUACUGAGACACGGACCAGACUCCUACGGGAGGCAGCAGUAAGGAAUAUUGGUCAAUGGAGGCAACUCUGAACCAGCCAUGCCGCGUGCAGGAAGACUGCCCUAUGGGUUGUAAACUGCUUUUAUCCGGGAAUAAACCUCUUUACGAGUAGAGAGCUGAAUGUACCGGAAGAAUAAGGAUCGGCUAACUCCGUGCCAGCAGCCGCGGUAAUACGGAGGAUCCAAGCGUUAUCCGGAUUUAUUGGGUUUAAAGGGUGCGUAGGCGGCCUGUUAAGUCAGGGGUGAAAGACGGUAGCUCAACUAUCGCAGUGCCCUUGAUACUGAUGGGCUUGAAUGGACUAGAGGUAGGCGGAAUGAGACAAGUAGCGGUGAAAUGCAUAGAUAUGUCUCAGAACACCGAUUGCGAAGGCAGCUUACUAUGGUUUAAUUGACGCUGAGGCACGAAAGCGUGGGGAUCAAACAGGAUUAGAUACCCUGGUAGUCCACGCCCUAAACGAUGAACACUCGCUGUUGGCGAUACACAGUCAGCGGCUAAGCGAAAGCGUUAAGUGUUCCACCUGGGGAGUACGGUCGCAAG